CCGUGCAGCUUCUGAAGAACAAAAGUAAAUCUAUAAAAAGUACUUACUGCAAAUCACAUUGGAAAUCAUUAAGGACGCUAUCUCAGUCUUGCUCCCUCUCCCUUUCCAGUUCAGGUCUGCUGCAAAUUGGUCAGUAAAGACCUUCUUACAUAUCCUGUGCACUGUCUCUUGGUGGCUUGCCCCACCCAGAGUGCCAAGGAAUCAUGCCUGUACACAAAAGGGAGCAGAAAAAAUGUGUAAGUGCUACCAUGUACACGUGCCUUAUCUCUACCAUUCAGUGCCUUUUUCAUAUAAAACAAGUGGUAGGAAUGUUAUCCACAACACAACUGGUUUCACAAGGCUCACCAACUAAGCCUGCAGGUAUACUACUUUUUACACUAAAUUCUUGAUUAGAAAACAUUCGGACAUUCUUGGGACGUUUACCAUCGUUUACCAUGUGACCACCCAACCGCCAAACAACAGGGGUCUCUAUUCGUUUGGGGAGUCCUUGUGUGAGUUCAUUGACUCCCACGCAGCAAUUAUUUCUUUUCUACGGGCAAUAUUCAGUGUUUUUCGUUCCUCAUUGAGAGGGUUUGGGCAAUCAGUUUCGUUGUGGUCGAAGUCCCCACACUUGAAACAAACCAAUGCCUGAACUGGACAUCGAGGGGCUGAUUGAGAAUGGGUAGUGGAAUGAUUAGACUUAGGUUUAUUGGCAGAUGCUUGUUAGCUGAAUUUUUCUGUGAUUUAUUAUGCUUAGAUGGGGUCUCUUUUGGGUUCCCUGUGUGAAAUAAAUUCAUAUUUUCGAAUUGUUGUACAUAACUAUGUGCUGACUUUGGGUUUGGUUUAUAUUGGGCCAUCUUGGCAUUCCUUGUUGCCUCAGCCUCUCUUACUGUGCUGAUGAGUUUCGGAAAAGGGAGUGCAUUUGUUUGAUUAUGUAAGUUUGUUACGGUGAUGAUAUAUAUCGUGGCAGCCAACUUAAUUUAUCAAGCAGCUUUUGGGCUGCAGUCUCGGGAGAAAACUCCCCAAUUUCUACCAGCCUACUGGCCUUGAGUUGCAGGCGCUUUAGGAAAUCAUAGGGUUUCUCCUGCUUGUCCUGGACCAUGCCCAUGAAUUCUUGCAACAGCAGGUUGUUAUUCUGCACCCUCCCAUAUAUGCUAUCCAAGAAGGAGAGCAAAUCUAGGGUGGAUGCAACCUGCUUAGCAAAAUCCUUGGCAGGCAGGACAAGCUGAGUGACAAUCUCGCGGCGUUUACACUGCUCGUCUAGGCUGGGCAUAGCGGCAAUCUCCUUCGCCACAUCAUAGAAAGUCUCCCAAUCGACCUCACCCUGCUUUACUGGCUCCUUACCAGAAAACAGGCCAAGUCGGGGCAGGCGAGAUUGAGAGGAGUCAGUAUUCUGAAAUGUUCUUCCUGAAUGACCCUGAACGAGCUGGUUCAACUGUUCUCUAGUUAACCCAGACUCACUCAGGAAAGCACUUAAUGUGUCAGUGGUAGGCAUGGCAGGAGAAGGUGAAUCUUCCUUCACUUCAAGAGAGGAUGUAAGAGGAGUAUCACUCUUUUGUGCCAUGAUUAUACUAGAAAACAAAUACUAAUCAAGGAAUUACUAUUCAUCCUAACAAAUAGAAAGGAGUGAAAAUAAUGAGCAGAAGUAAGUGUAACAAAGAAAUGUUAAGAAUUAAACUUAUCUGUUCAGAAGUCACUAACACUAUCAGAUUGAAGAGCAACAAGUUAACGUUUGGCAUUGAAGAUAUAUGAAUCUUAGAAACUAUAUCAUCGGAAAGCCAACAGAAGCAUCAAAGAAAAUAUUCCAGCAAAAGCGUAUCGCGAAGUAGACAAUCAAAAUGCAAAAUAUGUUAUACCCACACCAAUGAACCAAAAGUGAGAGGAGUGAUAAUGAACCGAAAGUGAGAGGAGUGAAGCAAUGAAAAAAGUACACUACUUCAAUAGUAGUGUACAUUAAGCUGAGCUACUCUUAUUCCCUAUGUCAGAGUUAUCUUUUUAUAUUUAAACAAACCACAAAUGAAAUGAGUGGUGCGGAGAAAGGUAUUAAUGAAAAUUUCAAGACAAACAAAUCUAUACCCACGAUAGACAUAACAAAUUAUAGGUAUAAAUCUAUGGUGAACCUAUAAUAAUUCCAAUACCUACUCUAGUUUAUAUAAGUGUAAUAAAAAAAUACUUGAAAGGGUCACACUUCAAUCAUUAUUCAAAAAAAUCAAAUGGUAAAUAUAACAUAAUACAUAGAAAGCAAGUAGAAACAAAACAAAACAGAAACAAAAACCUCGCUCUGCUACCAAUUGUAGCACCUACAUUUUAAUAAUACAUGUAUUUUGAAUUUUGACUAAAUUACCUUACAUUUAGGGUGAAAAAACUUUUUUUUUUCUUUUUCUUUUUGCUUGUCAAAUUUUCCAGCCCCUGGUCCCCCCUACCUUUGGGGACAGAUUUCCGCCCAUGCAUCAGCAUCACGGGUGUAAAUUCCAGGGAAAUGGGUGAUAUACCCACCCCCCACAUACACACACACUUUUCAGAGAGAGGGGUGGGGGUGGCAUGCACAAUCAUCCCCCACUGUUCAAGACAGUAACAGUAUUUUUAUUAAAUGUUUAAUAGUAUUGUUAAAGGGAUUCUCUCGACUGGGAAUAUGAUUUAAACAUAAAGAAAAAUCAGAUAAAACACUGGAAAUGUCCAUCCGUGACCAAAUUUGAUGUCCUAGUAAAAGUUGAAACUUGCUUCAAAAUUAUGUCGGGAAGUAAACUUAAUUAACAUCUGCAAUGAAAAUGAAUUGGCAGCAUUGUUUUGUUUAGACAGACAACAAAAGAUCACUGACAAGUGCAGAAACCCAUUUCUAUUCUGUCCGUCCGUGACAUUGAAUAUGUAAUGUAUUCUAUCUUUAGUGGUUAACCAUGGCAACAAAAGUCUCUUAACAUAAUUUAAGUGCUACUCUUUGUAAUGAACCAUAGUACACACAAAUGACAAAUUUCAAUAAAUCUUUAUAGAUCUUUAGCGGUUAAAAAAAAAGAGGAUGAUGAAAACGAAAGCUACAGGUUGUACACACAUGUCCCUGCAUAUCAACAGAAAGCAUGCCAAUCUCACACUACAAGAGAGACGGAUCGAAAACAAAAGAGGAUGAUGAAAACGAAAGCCAAAUUCAUUGCAUAUUAAUUGUGAGGUCUUCGAUUUUUAUCCAUUCAUUUUCCAUUAUCUUAUCUACCUACUUGCUAACUAAUCUGAAACUGUUAUAUUCAUUUUCAUAAACAUGCACCUGUCUGCGUCGUUUCAUUUGGUGGGUUCUAUUUAUAUGGCCUUCUAAUACCAAAAGCAUGUUUUUUGUGUGGGAUGAUGAUUCCACACAUGUCCCUGCAUAUCAUCAGAAAGCAUGCGGAUCUCACACUACAAGAGAGACGGAUCGAAAACAGAGGAUGAUAAAAACGAAAGCUACAGGUUGUAUACACAUGUCCCUGCAUAUCAUCAGAAAGCAUGCGGAUCUCACACUACAAGAGAGACGGAUCGAAAACAGAGGAUGAUAAAAACGAAAGCUACAGGUUGUAUACACAUGUCCCUGCAUAUCAACAGAAAGCAUGCCAAUCUCACACUACAAGAGAGACGCAUUGAAAACAAAAGAGGAUGAUGAAAACGAAAGCCAAAUUCAUUACAUUCUAAUUGUGAGGUCUUCAAUUUUUAUCCAUUCAUUUUCCAUUAUCUUAUCUACUUACUUGCUAACUAAUCUGAAACUGUUAUAUUCAUUUUCAUAAACAUGCACCUGUCUGCGUCGUUUCAUUUGGUGGGUUCUAUUUAUAUGGCCUUCUAAUACCAAAAGCUUGUUUUUUGUUUGGGAUGAUGAUUCCACACAUGUCCCUGCAUAUCAUCAGAAAGCAUGCGGAUCUCACACUACAAGAGAGACGGAUCGAAAACAAAAGAGGAUGAUAAAAACGAAAGCUACAGGUUGUAUACACAUGUCCCUGCAUAUCAACAGAAAGCAUGCCGAUCUCACACUACAAGAGAGACGGAUCGAAAACAAAAGAGGAUGAUAAAAACGAAAGCUACAGGUUAUAUACACAUGUCCCUGCAUAUCAACAGAAAGCAUGCCAAUCUUUCACUAAGUAAAAAAGAGAGGCGGAUCGAAAACAAAAGAGGAUGAUAAAAACGAAAGCUACAGGUUAUAUACACAUGUCCCUGCAUAUCAACAGAAAGCAUGCCAAUCUUUCACUACAAGAGAGAUCGAAAACAAAAGAGGAUGAUAAAACGAAUUGAGGAAGGUUUCCUGUCCCUAUGGCACUUUCCACCCUCUGGAGGAUAAGCAUCUGGUGGCAUUUGGUAUUUCUGGCAAAGCUAAAACAGUACCUAACCUGAAUUAAUCCAUAGAGCAAAUUAACAUUCUUACCAACUUCUGUCUGUUGUCAGGGGUCUUAAGCACCCCCCCCCCCUCCAAUUCAUGCAAUUCGUCUAGACCGUUAAACGGGAUACCAAAUUCUUAAUUUGCUCUUCUUGAAGGUUUCCUGUCCCUAUGGCACUUUCCACCCUCUGGAGGAUAAGUGUCUAGUGGCAUUUGGUAUUUCUGGCAAAGCUAAUACAGUACCUAACCUGAAUUAAUGUAUAAAACAAAUUAACAUUCUUACCACCUUCGUCUACUUUCAGGGGUCUUAAGCUCCCCCCCCCCCCAUUCAUGCAAUUCGUCUAGACUGUUUAACGGGAUACCAAAUUCUUAAUUUGCUCUUCUUGAGGAAAGUUUCCUGUCCCUAUGGCACUUUCCACCCUCUGGAGGUUAAGUGUCUAGUGGCAUUUGGUAUUUCUGUAUAUUUCGGUAUUUUUUUGUACGUUUUAAUCAUCUUUAUAGAUAAUUUCCAGCAGUAUUAUAUCUAGAGUUAUAAGUAAUAUAGUAAUGUAGAUCUCUACUCUGUGAUGAUCUCAACUUUUCUUACCCUCAACCCUUGUGUGUGCGCCCAUUAUUCAAAUUCAAAAUCAUUUAUUUCACAUCUAUAAAAACAUACAAGAUACAAUAUAUCGAGAUCAAUCAAAAUGAUUCCAUAUUAAUGGAGUAAUGAAUAUUGUAAAAUGACAAAUAAACAAAAUAAAAUACAUAGGGUAAUGAAUGCGAUGUGGGGGAAUAGUAAAAGCCAAAAAGACCUAUCUAGGCUACUCACCGAUUAACAUUGAUUUUCAUUACCAAAAAAACAUCUUUCAAUCAAUUUAUUAGAUUGCAAGAAACACACAUUUCAAAAAUCAACAAAAUCAACAAACUAGUGAAGAAUUUGAAUAAAAACAUAUAUUACAAAAAAAAAUAUUUAAUAUUAAAGCAUACACAUAAAACAGGCAAGCCUGUUCACUGAGAAAAUGGUGAAGUAUACAUAUUUAGUAGGUAAGACUUACAUCUUACUUUAAAUGAGUUUAGCAGAGGACUUUGUUUUAUUUCAGGUGGCAAACUGUUCCAUAUGAGUGGUCUGCUAUAACUUAUGACUGUUCUUGAGAAAGAAAAAACGGUAAAAAGGCAUGUUAAAAUUAUCAGAGUUUCUCAUAUCAUAUUUUGUUUACACUGAUUUGUUUUAAAAUGACUGUUGAAUGUGUCAGGCAACUGAUUCCUGUAGUGUGAAAACAUAAAACUUGCAGUGUGAAGGGUAUGUAUAUCAUAAAUUUUCAGAAUCUUUAAUUUACGUAAUAAAUGAUGAGAGUGAGCUAAAUAUGGGGACUUUGUUAUUAUUCUUUUUAUUUUUUUACCUCUGCCAUUUUUACCUCUGCCAUUUCACCUCUGCCAUUUUUACACCGAGCCAAAAUAUUACUUACAUGUUGCAGGUCAUUUAUGUACAAUAUAAAACAAGAGGGCCUAGGUUUGACCCAUGGGGUACCCCUACUCUAACAUCCUGAAACUCUGAAUAGAUUUUGUUGAUGCAUGCACAUUGUUUUCGAAUUUUUAAGUAACUGAUUAACCUCUUUAAUACUGUCCCUCUAAACCUAUAUGAUAAUAGCUUAUCAAUUAAAAUAUUAUGGUCUUUACAAUCAAAUGCUUUAGAUAAGUCUAAAAAUACACCAAUUGUUAUUGCUUUGUUCUCAUAUUCCUUAGCUAUUUUAUCAGUUAAAUCAAUUAAUGCAUGAGCAGUGUUGUAUCCCUGUCUGAAACCAAAGUGCUUGUUAUAUGAUAUGUUGUGUUUUGAAAUAAAUGGUAUCAAUUUGUCAUAUACUAUUUUUUCAAAAACCUUGCUGAAAACUGAUAUAAUUGAUAUGGGUCUGUAGUUUAUGCAAUUCGUCUUGUCCGUUUAACGAGAAACCAAACUCUUCAAUUUCCUCUUCUUGAAGAAGGUUUCCUGUCCCUAUGGCACUUUCCACCCUCUGGAGGAUAAGCAUCUGGUGGCAUUUGGUAUUUCUGGCAAAGCUAAAACAGUACCUAACCUAAAUUAAUCCAUAGAGCAAAUUAACAUUCUUACCAACUUCUGUCUGUUGUCAGGGGUCUUAAGCCCCCCCCCCCCCCCCUCCAAUUCAUGCAAUUCGUCUAGACCGUUAAACGGGAUACCAAAUUCUUAAUUUGCUCUUCUUGAGGAAGGUUUCCUGUCCCUAUGGCACUUUCCACCCUCUGGAGGAUAAGCAUCUGGUGGCAUUUGGUAUUUCUGGCAAAGCUAAAACAGUAUCUAACCUAAAUUAAUCCAUAGAGCAAAUUAACAUUCUUACCAACUUCUGUCUGUUGUCAGGGGUCUUAAGCUCCCCCCCCCCCCCCUCCAAUUCAUGCAAUUCGUCUAGACCGUUUAAUGGGAUACCAAAUUCUUAAUUUGCUCUUCUUGAGGAAGGUUUCCUGUCCCUAUGGCACUUUCCACCCUCUGGAGGAUAAGCAUCUGGUGGCAUUUGGUAUUUCUGGCAAAGCUAAAACAGUACCUAACCUGAAUUAAUCCAUAGAGCAAAUUAACAUUCUUACCAACUUCUGUCUGUUGUCAGGGGUCUUAAGCUCCCCCCCCCCCCCCCCCUCUUUCAUGCAGUUUGUCUAGCCCAUUUAACGAGAAACCAAAUUCUUAAUUUGCUAUUCUUGAGGAAGGUUUCCUGUCCCUAUGGCACUUUCAACCCUCUGGAGGAGAAGCAUGUGGUGGUGCACCAGCAGCUUCAACUCCAUCAACAGCUUUAUGAUGGUGGAGACAGUGUUUUGAUCUGAAAUCAAUUAUGAGAACAAAAAAAACGUAAUUAUAUUGUUGUGUGGGGAUCGUUCAAUUCAGAUUGAGAACAUCAAUGACACAGGAAUGUACGUUUUAAUCAUCUUUAUAGAUAAUUUCCAGCAGUAUUAUAUCUAGAGUUAUAAGUAAUAUAGUAAUGUAGAUGUAGAUCUUUACUCUGUGAUGAUCUCAACUUUUCUUACCCUCAACCCUUGUGUGUACACCCAUUAUUCAAAAUCAUUUAUUUCACAUCUAAAAAAACAUACAAGAUACAAUAUAUGGAGAUCAAUCAACAUGAUUCCAUAUUAAUGGAGUAAUGAAUAUUGUAAAAUGACAAAUAAACAAAAUAAAAUACAUAGGGUAAUGAAUGCGAUGUGGGGGAAUAGUAAAAGCCAAAAAGACCUAUCUAGGCUACUCCCCGAUUAACAUUGAUUUUCAUUACAAAAAAAAAACAUCUUGCAAUCAAUUUAUUAGAUUGCAAGAAACACACAUUUCAAAAAUCAACAAACUAGUGAAGAAUUUGAAUAAAAACAUAUAUUACAAAAAAAAAUAUUUAAUAUUAAAGCAUACACAUAAAACAGGCAAGCCUGUUCACUGAGAAAAUGGUGAAGUAUACAUAUUUAGUAGGUAAGACUUACAUCUUACUUUAAAUGAGUUUAGCAGAGGACUUUGUUUUAUUUCAGGUGGCAAACUGUUCCAUAUGAGUGGCCUGCUAUAACUUAUGACUGUUCUUGAGAAAGAAAAAACAGUAAAAAGGCAUGUUAAAAUUAUCAGAGUUUCUCAUAUCAUAAUUUGUUUACACUGAUUUGUUUUUAAAUGACUGUUGAAUGUGUCAGGCAACUGAUUCCUGUAGUGUGAAAACAUAAAACUUGCAGUGUGAAGGGUAUGUAUAUCAUAAAUUUUCAGAAUCUUUAAUGUACGGAAUAAAUGAUGAGAGUGAGCUAAAUAUGGGGACUUUGUUAUUAUUCUUAUUGUCUGUUUUUGUUUUUUGUUUUUAAUUUAAAAUAUUUAAUUGCAUUGGAUCCUUACCAGAUAAAAUAAACUUGUAUCGUCUGCAAAUAAGAUAGUAGUUAAAAUAUUACUUACAUGUUGCAGGUCAUUUAUGUACAAUAUAAAACAAGAGGGCCUAGGUUUGACCCAUGGGGUACCCCUACUCUAACAUCCUGAAACUCUGAAUAGAUUUUGUUGAUGCAUGCACAUUGUUUUCGAAUUUUUAAGUAACUGAUUAACCUCUUUAAUACUGUCCCUCUAAACCUAUAUGAUAAUAGCUUAUCAAUUAAAAUAUUAUGGUCUUUACAAUCAAAUGCUUUAGAUAAGUCUAAAAAUACACCAAUUGUUAUUGCUUUGUUCUCAUAUUCCUUAGCUAUUUUAUCAGUUAAAUCAAUUUAUGCAUGAGCAGUGUUGUAUCCCUGUCUGAAACCAAAGUGCUUGUUAUAUGAUAUGUUGUGUUUUGAAAUAAAUGCUGUCAAUUUGUCAUAUACUAUUUAUUCAAAAACCUUGCUGAAAACUGAUAAAAUUGAUAUGGGUCUGUAGUUACAAGUGUUUUAUUACCAUUCUUAAAGACAGGAGUUACUUUAGCAAGUUUUAAACACACCUUUUUCAAGAGACAUAUUAAUGAUUUUACAUAAAGGGGAAACUAUUGCAUGAAUUGAAUAUUUAACUACCUUAGGACUAAUAUCAUCGUAACCUGCGCUUUUAUUCGCAUCCAAUUUCAAAAUGAAUUUCUUUCUGUAACUGACGUACAGUACAUAGAAUGACAAAUACGGUUUUUCAUAAACCUUUUAGUUAUUUUCUUGAGAUAGAUUUCUAGUACUCGUGUAUUUUAGAACCAAUACUACUGAAAAAAUCAUUAAAUACAUUUACAGUUUCUUGCUUCGGUCACUUCUCCAUUAUUUUCAAUACUAUAAUCAACAUCUCUAUCAUUUUUUGUUAAAAUGUUAUUUAUUAUUUUCUAUGUCGCUCUAGAAUUGUGUUUUACAUUUCAAAUUUAUGAUGAUAGAAUUCAUGUUUAUAUUUGCGAUUGAAGCUAUGAACAAUGUUUCUGUAACUUUUAUACACAUUCUUUGGGUUCUUUAAAAAUUUGUUAUAUAUAAAGUAUUUUCGUUUGCACAUUUUCUUGAUAUCCGUAUUAAACCAUGACCUUCCUGUAGAGGUCUUUUUUAUUCUAACAUUUGUUAUUGGAAAAGUUUCAUUAUAUAGUUUUUUGUAAAUGUCUAAAAUAUAUCAUAAACUUCAUCAACAUUUUCUGUAUUGCUUAAACAUGUCCAAUCAACACACUAAUUUUCUACAAAAUGUAAUAUAAUAAAAUCUCGAGAUUGAGCAAACUCGGGAUGGUGCAGCACCGCCUACUGUCUAGACUGUUUGUAUAGUGAUUUAUGCAAUCACUUCAUGACAAUUAAGCUAGGUAUAACACAAAGCUUACAUCAGGGAAGAGAUCAUUGUCGCCUUUUUACACAAGCAAUGGGCUAUUCAUAUGCAACUUUUAGGCAGAUCAUAGUUUUGCAGAUUGUCAUUCAUAUUUAUAUUUUUUCUGUUUUGCCUUUAAAUAUUUAUAUAAAAUAAACACUUUUUUAACUUUUCAAAAUAUCCCUUUUAAUACAAGCACAAUCAGUAUAUGUCACCAAAUUGUAGUAUAGGCAUGUUUCUACGUGUUUGCAUUGUCUGUACCAAUGGUAAAGGUGUGUAAAUGCUAUGUUAUUUGAUGUUUCACACUAUCCAGAGUUUAUAAUACUCAGUCAUUCAAUAUAUACAUGUAUAUACCCAUGCAGUUUUGAUGUCGUAAAUUAUUGACUUUGGAUUUACAAUGAUGGCUUUAACAGGGCAGUGCAAGAAAAUUAUCAAAUGUUAAUCCUAGAUCUGUCGUAAGUUUCGCAAUAAAUUGCAAUUGAGAAAAAUUUAUAUCUAUAUUUUGCUCAUGUGAUUGUAUUGUAUCACUUCAAAUGAAUAGAAAAAUGUUAUUGCAUCAUAGAGUUUGUUAUUAAUUUGGGUUUGUAUUGAGGAUGAAAUUCUUCCAACUUGUGCAUGUACUUUUAAUGGAAUAUCCUUGGCAUAGUGCUAUAUUGAGAGUUGUCUUAAAUUAUGCAUGACAUGGCAGAAACAUUCAUUUUCUAAAUGUAUCUAUACAAAGUGGUAAAGAGUUUAAUGUAACCCUAAUUAAAUUUUUAUUCAAAGUUCAUAUUUUAGCUAUUUAGUUUUUAUUUAUCACCCAAGUAAUAUUUUGGUUGCAUCGUAAAGUUAUUAUUCACAGACAGCAUUGUUAAACAACCAAAAUACAUUGACCUUUCAUGGCUAUCAACUUUCUGAAUUUUAGUGUGAAUGGCUUACUUAUUUCUACAUGAAGUCUGUAAUGCUUAUAUUCCUACAUGAAAGUGUGUUAAUUUAUGAUAAAAGUUAUAAUAUACUUUCUAGACGUGAUUACUAUAUGGAACUGAUUACAUGAUGGGAACGAGUUCAGAGCAUACCAGUUAGGCAUUGUUAUUCCUCUGCAUUACAAUGAUGCAAUACUCACUACCUAUUGAAAGGCAAUUCUGGUCCAGUUGUAAGAUUAAAAAUUGUUAAUAAAUUUCAACUAAAGA